GAUGAACGCUAGCUACAGGCUUAACACAUGCAAGUCGAGGGGAAACGAUAUUGGAAGCUUGCUUCCGAUAGGCGUCGACCGGCGCACGGGUGAGUAACGCGUAUCCAACCUGCCCAUCACUUGGGGAUAACCUUGCGAAAGUAAGACUAAUACCCAAUGACGUCUCUAGAAGACAUCUGAAGGAGAUUAAAGAUUUAUCGGUGAUGGAUGGGGAUGCGUCUGAUUAGCUUGUUGGCGGGGUAACGGCCCACCAAGGCGACGAUCAGUAGGGGUUCUGAGAGGAAGGUCCCCCCACAUUGGAACUGAGACACGGUCCAAAACUCCUACGGGAGGCAGCAGUGAGGAAUAUUGGUCAAUGGGCGAGAGCCUGAACCAGCCAAGUAGCGUGCAGGAUGACGGCCCUAUGGGUUGUAAACUGCUUUUAUAAGGG
rnacentral:rRNA from 1 species